rnacentral:lncRNA from 1 species
AACUCCUGACCUCAAGUGAUCCGCCCACCUCGGCCUCCCAAAGUGCUGGGAUUACAGGCAUGAGCCACCGCUCCGGGCCCUUGCACAUAUUUUUUUAUGAACACACAGGCAGCAGCACUUUGAUUACAGUAACUUACAUGGAAGUUAUUUUAAAAUGGCUUUCCCCUUCUCUUUUUCAUGUAGGCUGCAUUUUUCAUCUGCAGCACGCUUUCUCUCAAGAAUCUCAAGCACACACAAGAAACCAGAGAGUAAAAUCACUGAGGCGUGAACACAUCCAGAGACCAAGGGCGUCACUGGCAGAAAAGCUUUUAGGCGGAUCCACGGCCCGAGAGCCACCCUGCCCAGAGACGCGGUUUCCUAGGAGCAGUUCACACGCGGCUCUGCAGCACCCACAAGCGGGGCCAGGGGCUGGUUUUCAUAGUUCACAGUCUGCAGGGAUCUUAACAAAAACAUGGCCGUGGUAAAAGUGCCUAGACCAGGCUUUCGUCACAACUCAUCAUGUUACUAGGUUAGGAUAAUAAAAAGGACUGUGAACUUCACAUCUGCCAUCUAUAAUAGAUUCUUAUUGUAGCAAUCUUGCACCAAGGGGAUUUCUUUAUUAACUCUGCCAAAUUUUCCAAAAUUACCAAAUGGAGAAAAGAGCUGGUCCCAUCUGUCACCAGGCACAACCAGGAAGUGUCAGAAGACUUUCAGAAGCACAUGCAGUUGCAGCUCCAGUGUUUCAACAGUUGCCCAUUUCCAAGGCCUCCUAAAUACGUAUGAGGCCUGUGGACAACUUUCUCCUCAGCUGUUACAGCACGAAUGGUUAGAAAGAUGAACUUGGAACCUCAGACGAGAAUAUGAGAAACAUAAACAGAGACAUAUGACAACCUAAAAAAUGGAGUACAAUACCAAUAAGAAUAACGAUUA